rnacentral:rRNA from 1 species
GAAUUUUGGACAAUGGGCGAAAGCCUGAUCCAGCAAUGCCGCGUGCAGGAUGAAGGCCUUCGGGUUGUAAACUGCUUUUGUACGGAACAAAAAGCAUUGGGUUAAUACACUGGAGUCCGUACGGUACCGUAAGAAUAAGCACCGGCCAACUACGAGCAGGCAGCCGCGGUAAUACGUAGGGUGCAAGCGUUAAUCGGACUUACUGGGCGUAAAGCGUGCGCAGGCGGUUUUGUAAGACAGAGGUGAAAUCCCCGGGCUCAACCUGGGAACUGCCUUUGUGACUGCAAGGCUAGAGUACGGCAGAGGGGGGUGGAAUUCCGCGUGUAGCAGUGAAAUGCGUAGAUAUGCGGAGGAACACCGAUGGCGAAGGCAACCCCCUGGGCCUGUACUGACGCUCAUGCACGAAAGCGUGGGGAGCAAA